ACUGGACUUUUAUUUAAAAAGAAAUGAAACCCAAAAACAAACACAAAAAAACACGGCCCAAACAUAACUACUGACCCCAGUAUACAAAAAAAAAACAAAAAAAUCAAAUAAAACAUUAAAAGUAAGCCUAGUCCAAUUAGAUAUGAACUGUCCCCUGCUCCUGGUUCUCGAUUCUUCAUUUCCCUUACGGUCAGUUCCAAUUCCAAAAGAGCAUAGCCUCUUCCAUUAUGAAUCUUUCUGUCGUCGAUGUCCUCUUCCUCAAUUCAAGACCUAUUUAAGAAAUUCGUCUCAGUCCAGCUCUCUGGCCUUUUGUUUUCCAGUUCCCAUCGAUCGCACAACAUAUUCAAGCACAAUCCCCUAUAGUGCAUCGCCCUCAAUUACUAAUAUCGCCAAUCCCAUGCUUUCCUCCAAUUGCACCGCUUGAGAACAUGCAAGAGCCUCAACUGCAAAUGAAGAUGCUACAUCCUUAUGAAAGACAAAUUUUGAGGCUAGUACCUUUCCUCUAUCAUUUCUGACUACCAUCCCUGAUCUCGAUCUAAACUGUUGGGGGUCGUAAGCCGCGUCAAAAUUAAUCUUGAUGGUCGUAUUGAGCACCUCCUAAAAGCCUAGGACACUCACAAAACACAUGAUCAAGACUCUCUACAUCCCCAACAUCUGGACACAAUGUAUUUGCCACUAGUCUUUUAUAAUAUAGGUUAGUUAGAGUAGGCAAAAAGUGCCAAAAAGUGCCAUGAAAUUUUCCAGAUUGUAAUUUUUUGUUUAGCAAAUAGGUUUAAAUUUUAAAGUUUCUUGUAAAAAUUUUUGGAAUCAUUCUAUAAAUCAAUAGCAUUAGGAUCUGUAUUUCUUGCUAGUAGCAUUUUAUAUCCACUUCACACCGAGAAUUCCCCAGAAGGCUCUUUCUCCAUAACAGCAUAUCAUCAUGCCCCUCAUUAGCUAAUAGGAUUUGAAGGAUUCUAGCCACAUCAACGUCCGAAAAGUUAUCUUUAAUGACCUCCACUUUCCAUACUCUAGAAGUAUUUUCUAUUAGAUCAGAGACCAAUGUUAUAUCAGCAUUAUUGAACUACUACUAACUUUGUAGUUAGCUACCCCUGGCAACCAUGCAUCCUCGACUACUAAAAUUCUAUCACCAGUACCAACCCUUCAACAUAGUUCGUUUUGUAAAAGGCCUUCGCUGGCCACACGCUCUUCCAUGUAUAAAAAGAUAGAUUCGCUAAUUUGGAUUUUAAAAAAUUACAACUCCAAUAAUAUUUUGCUUUUAAAAUACAUGCUAACAAAUAACUCGGAUAAGUAAUAAGAUGCCAUCCCUAUUUUUCUAACAAAGCCAAAUUGAAUCUUGUUAAACUUCUAAAACCCAAGCCAUCGCUUUAUUUUAACUUGCAUUACCGGUUACAUUCGCACCAAUGUAUACCCUUCUUACCAUGUUCUUUUUGCCACCAAAAACUUGCCCUUAUGCUUUCCAAGUCUCCACAGAGUGACCUAGGGAGCAAAAAGUAUGCCAUAGAAUACGUCGAAAUGGCUUGUCAAACAAAAUUAAUGAAAACCUCCUUCCCUCCUUGAGAUAAAAAUCUCAUACUAUAAAUUCUUUUCUUGAUCCGGUCAUUUAAAAUCUGAAACGACAUAUUCUUUCGCCUCCUCACUAUGUUUGGUAGCCCUAAAUACCUCUUUGGAUCAUUCGAAUACCUAACCCCCCAAUAUUCUAGAUACCAAUUGCCUAUCUCCUUCAGAAGUAUUCGAACUAUAAAAAAUAGUGUAUUUAUCAUAGUUAAUGCAUUGUCCCGAACAAACCUCGUAUUCCCUUAAAAUUUGUUUCAAUGUUUGAACCCCUUAACAGUUGCUUCUCCAAAUAGCACACUAUUGUUCGCAACUAACAAAUACGAUAUCUGAGGACCCCUUCUACUAACCUUGGCCCCUUUUAUCAAACCGUCUUUCAAAGCUAAUCUCAUAAGAGCCGAUAACCCUUCUCUACAAAUCAGAAAAAGAAACAGACUCAGAGGAUCCCUUUACUGAAGACCUUUACUAGGUUUGAAUACUUCCCCAAAUUUCCCAUUCAUGAUCAUCGAAUAUGAGAUAGAAGAUAUACAACACAUAAUAGUUUCCACCCCUGGCCUAGCAAACCCCAUUCGUUCCAUUUCACCCUUAAAAAUUCUCAUUCUACCCGAUCAUAUGUUUUGCUCAUAUCUAGUUUCAGUACCAUAAACCUUUUUUUCCUUAUUCUCUUUUGUUGAAAAGUAUGAAAAAUCUCAUAGGCCAAUAGCACAUUAUCAAAUAUCAAUCGCCCCAGCACAAAGGCACUUUGGGCACUGUCAAUAUAAUCCUCCAAAACUUUUUCAAAAUGAUUAGCUACCAUUUUCACUGUCGGUUUAUAAAGAAUAGUGCAUAACCUAAUUAGCCUAAAAUUUGCUAAAUUCAUCGAAUGGGGAAUUUUAAGGAUUAGCAAAAUAUUGGUAAUAUUCAAGGGAUCUAACGCCAUACCUUCAUUCAAGACUCCCAAGCAAUAGGAAGUAAUAUUUUUCCCUACGAUGUGCUAGCAAUUUUUAAAGAAUAAAGCCAAAAAAUCGUCUUCGCUUGAUACCUUUCUUGGCCCCAUCUCUUUCAACGCCAAAAAGACCUUUUCCCCUGUAAACUUUUCUGUCAGCAUCAUAUCAACAUCAUUCAAAAUGCAUCUCUCAUUCCCCGUCAGAAUAUGAUCGAUAUCUCCCAUCCCAAUUGUCGAGAAUAGAUUUUGAAAAUAGCUUUGAGAGAUCUUUUCCAUUUCAUCCUAGUCUAUCGCCACCCUCCCAUCCUCAUAUUGUAAACAUCUAAUUUUAUUCAUUCUUCUGGGCAGGGAAGCAUAGUUGUGGAAAAAAUAGUGUUUUUAUUCCCCCCGACAUCAACCAAUUCGCCAUGCAUCCCAGAAAUAUACCUCGAAUCCCCUUCUAGGUUUAACCCUAAAAUAGGAUCCCAUCUCAUCCCUGACUCUUUCCUUACCUCUUAUCAAGAUCCCUUCCCCAUAUCUGAAUGUCCUAAGUUACUCCCGCUCAUCUCACCUUCUCAUUCCUCUCACCAUCACACACUACUUAUCGUAGAAGCUCCUAGAUUGCGCCUUUAAAGACAUCCCAUCCCAUCUUUGUAAUAUCCAAGCCUUUGAUCAUUCUAACUUGAUAGAAAAAAUCAUUAUGUCCUAAAAACCAAAAAAAAAAAAAAAAAAAAGAAUAACAAUGUCAAUCUCUCAUACUUAAACUUGACAUAAGUACAUUUUCCAGACGAAAAUAUUAUCUUCUUCUUUCGCUUCAAAGGUCACCUAACAUCCAUCUAGACCCGUAUAUUUAAGAAAUUUCUCAUUCUCAUACUCAAACUCUUGAAGUCAUAUUCUAGGAACUAGCCAAUUAAAUCACCUAAUUACUUUGCGAUAGACUCAGAGAAUAACCCUGGAGGUAACUCAUGUAUUUGCACCCAGAAAGUUGAAAGAACUAGCAAAAUUUUCAUCAGAUCCUCGCCAUCCUUCAAACGAUGAAACACCAAAAAUGAUUAUUAAAAGUCCAAGGUGCCCCAUUUACAACCCAUUCAAUAUCUAUUUUAUGAAAAAAAUCUAAAUAGAAAUAUUUUUCCCCUUAGAUCUGAUAUCUGAACCACUCUUAAAGGAUGCCAUAGAUUCGUCAUAGUACUCAUCAUUGCCAUAAACUAGACUAUACUUGACGUGAGAAAAACAACCAACCAAACAAAAAUCAUUCACCACAUUUUGUGAAUCAGAUUCAUUCUAUAUCAAUAGAACCUCCUCAUCACCAUCCUCCAAAGAUAAAUCUGCCAAAUCAUUCUCCGUCACCAAAAAACAACACCCAGCCCGGUUGACCACCACCCCAAAAAACCCACUAACCUAUUGCCACCGCCAAAAUAAAAAAACCUAAAAAAAACCAAAAACAUGCUAGAGUAGCAAAUAGAGACGUGCCAAAGUAGCAGACUUUUUCACCCGUAUUAAUUAAGACAAAAAAAGUUUUUUUAAACAGUUUCGAUGAGAGAAAAGAGUAUUUAGGGGAUGUCGCAAGUUUAUCGUGAAAGAGAAGGAAAACGGAGAAGAGAGGAAGAGAAAAAAUAGUUGAAAGUGGAGAAAAAAAAGGUAAAAUUUUAUUGAAGUCAAUUCUAUUUUGAUUCUUUAGUUUUUUUUUCUUUAGCCCAUAAUGCCACAUGGAUUCUAUUUGUUGAUCCAUGUGUCAAAAACCCAGAGAAAUUACACCAUGUUUGAUUGGGUAUAAUCCCAUAGCUAUUACUUAUCUAUUCGAUGAUCGAUGAGCUCAAGUUAUUAACUUGUUUGGUUGGGGGUAAUAGCCAUUCUAUGACAUGGGCUAAGAAUAGGGAUUCCAAUUCAGAUGAAAGGAAAAUAAAAUUAGGGAUAGACCAAAAUAUCCCCUCUUCAUCUCGUUCCCUCUCUCGUUUUCCCAAAAUUAAAACUUGCGUUUGAAAUCAGAAACUUACAAAGGCUCCGUUCGCUAGCUUCCACUUGUUCAUCUUGAUUGAAAGUUAUGUCAAACUUUUCACGAUCAACUACAACUUCUUACCAAAAUUCUCAAGGAACCAACAGGAAAUGGGUUCCAGAAGAUGUUGCGUAUGUUGCCUAUAUGGUCAACUUUCACAAUGUUGGAACUUUUAACGCAGAUACAGGAUUAAAGGUUGGUUAUUUAAAUGACUUGAAAACAAUGUUAGAAAAAAUUUUACCUCAUGUUAUGCUGAAGGCUAGAGCUAAUCUUGAAUUGAGGAUUAGGAGAUUGAAAAAAGAACAGGCAAUCAUUUACGACAUGCUCAGAGGAAAAGACAAUAACAGCUUUGGUUGGUAGAGCAUAUGCAGAUGGUUGUUGUUGAAGAUGCGAUGUGGAACUCAUAUAAAAGUAGUCAUAAAGAAGCUGGUCAAUUCAGACAUCGCAAUUUCUCUUAUUAUGACCAACUUACUUCUAUAUACGCAACUGUAACACCUUAUACUCGACCCAAUCACUGAGUCCAGACUACAAGGGUAGAUAAUGAAAUGGGAAAUCAAGUGAAAGGACCAAGCCAGUCUUCGCCAAUGCUAAGAGAUGGUUAUGAUAGAUGAUUCACAUAUAUAGAGGGGCACCCUUAGAGACCACACCUCAGGGUCUAAUAUGAUUGUGUCUGUAACUGAUCAUUAAAUUAAAAAUUGUAAAUAAUUGUCAUGUUUAUUUAAGGGAUCUAAGCUGUAAGAAUUUAUUUUUCGUAUGGAAUGAGUCCUAGCGGUAGAUGGUUUUUGGAGAAGUUGGACUAUUUAAGUACGUAGCAAAGUUAGCUAGAAUUUUGUUAAGAUAUUCAGGUUGUUGUUACAUUCAGUACACGGACCUAGUGAUCGGGUCGGGAAUAGGGUGUUACACUGUUGGCCUUGAAUUAAGUAGGAGCAUUGCCUCCGAAGAGCUAAUUCAAGAGAAGUUAGAAAUGCUCAUUCAAGAAAAUGCCCAAAAAUUAUAUCUGGCCUUAGAUGAAAUACAAGGAUUAAUUAAGGAUGAGCGUUUUUUUGCGUUGAGUAAAAUUCCAAACUAUUCAACGCAAAUGGUUGUUUUCUUAAGUAUACCUUCUUCUGUGUGAUGAGUAUGGGUGAAAUGAUUUAUUUCUACCCAUUAAAAAUCAUGGUUGUAUUGGUGAUGUUUUGGUAAAUUUUUGU